CACAAGAACAAAGAAAAUAUUUGUUGGUGGCCUUUCAGCCAAUACAGUAGUGGAAGAUGUGAAGCAGUAUUUUGAACAGUUUGGGAAGGAAGCCAGAAGUGGAGAAGGAAAAAGAACAAGAAAGAGAAGAAAUAGCAAAAGACCGUGUCAUCAACUUCUCCGGUUUCUGAGAAGGACAAAGAUGAAGAAACCAUAGCCCAGUCUGUAUUCACCGCAUCAACGCCGCUUGAGUACACACCGCUUACCAGUGCUGAUUCAACAGAAGGUCGGAAGUAUGUUCAAAUAGAAAAAGGAUGUUCACAUUUUUUGUUUGGUUAUUUGUAUUUAUUUUAUUAACAAUUUAAUAAACUAAAGUUAUUUUCAGUGUAAAUUGUAAAUGUUGUAUGAUUAAUAUUUGCACAUUUUAUAUUAUAUUUUUUAUACAUAUUUAUAUUUAAUCAUGUUACUUUGGCUUUUGUAUUAUUGUUUAUUACACAUUUGAUAGAAUGUAUACAUAUUGAUAUACAUAUGUUAUACUUUUUAUAUAAAACAAUUUUGUUUUAAUUAAAAAUGU